UAAUGUUCAACUCAGAUUGUUCAAGGAUGGUUUCGUAUGACACUUUGACUACUAUGAGGGUUUUGUUCUGUCCAAAGUAACACACAAAGAAUUAAACAUUUUAUUGAAAACAAUGUAUGUGUACCAUAGAAGAACAAGAAAUAAACCUGGAAGUAUGAUAAAUUUUACCGUCCACCUCAGCUACAAUCAAUAACCUACAAAAGCCAAAACGGAAACAGACCAUUAGGGAAUAAUAAAUCUUUUCAGUAUUUCCAGUACCAUCGAAAACACGAGCAGGGGAAAAAUGAUUAUCUGGUUCAAUUAGUUAGUAAAUAGUAGAGCUACCUCUAGUUGCUCAUAAAGACUCCUUUUGAACGUCUAGUUGCAGUUGUAGUGCCUCCUUAAGUUGCGUAUCGCCGCAAAUGGUUUUCAAAUCUUUCUAAGAAACAUGAAAUUAACUGCGAUGGAAGAAAGUUUGUAUCUUUGCAACUGUUUAGGCUCAACACGUGGAAAAUAAAAGGCUAGUUUUGAGCUUAACACAAUCUCUAAUAUGCAUUCUACUAAAAUAUAGGUAGCGCAUUCUACUAAAAUAUAGGUAGCAUGAAGUAGCAAUUUUACAUUUCGAUGCCAAUCCAUGCUGCAUUAUUUAACUAAUCUUCUUCACAGAUCUUUUAGUUGCAUCAUCUAUGUGAAAAUAACAGUAAAAAAAAGAGCAAGUUAGCAACAAUAUGAGAAGGCAAGACAUGGGUUUGGCAAAUGUCAAAGGAACAAUUGUAGCAGAUAUCUCGCAUUACGAGUCAUGUCUUAUUCAGGGAAUAAAUAAAGGAUGACCCUGCAAUUAGACCACCCAAAAUACUCCAUGAAAAGGAUACCACAUACCUUCUUAAAUGCAGACUGACAAAGUGGCACUGAUAAGAAGUAUUAGAACUUUACUAGCAUCAUCGACCUUACCUUCAAAUUUCAACGAUAAAAUAAGUAACCAAGAAAUAAGCAGUUUAACUUAGGCUCUAAUAAAUAAAAUAUGGGCAUUGACAAUAAAUUGAAAAGACAUUGUACGUGUGUGGCCAAUUCUCUAUUGGCUAAAGCAAGAGAAUACUAGGUAACCUUCCAUAUCCAGCCCUCCGCCAUGCUUUUGCAGGGACAUUAGUCAAUGAGAGAUAUAUAAAAGGCAGAGCUAGGGAACUAACUCAAACACUUUGCACAAACACAAAAAAGAGAAGAAAAUGAUGCAAUAUAACCAAAGUAUACCCGAGAGGAUCCAGUUUUCAAUACUCUAAGUUGUUGUCAAUAACCAGAAAAGCACGAGCCAGAUGAAAUCUCCCAACCGAGGCAUUUUAAGAAGAAAAAAAAAUCUCCAUUAAAAUCAGAAUAGAAUAAAGAUAACUGAAAAGUAUACAUUAUCACCAAUUCCCCAAAAGCUGUUUAAGAAAUUAAAUUUUACAAUAAGGAUAACAAACAAAAAAGACCAGAAAAGAGAGGCUAAAACUAAGUCAUUCAGUUCCAGCUAUCACAUUUUCAAUUACCCAAGUAUUAAAAGAAUACUUCAUACAUUCAUACAUUACACAAGCAGCAUACUAAUUGAAUUUGCAAGGGUUAAGUUGCGAAGAGCCGAAAAGUUCAGUGAAACGUGACCUAAUUGAAGUUUACUUCAAACUCAUUAGUCAC
rnacentral:lncRNA from 1 species